rnacentral:rRNA from 1 species
CAUUCGGCCAAGGGCACGUCUGCCUGGGCGUCAAGC